AUUUUGGAUACACUUAAAAUAAGUUUUGAUGGAUUAGAGGAUACAGAAAAACAAAUAUUCCUAGAUAUAGCAUGUUUCUUCAAAGGAAAGGACAAAGAUCUUGUAACAAAGAUAAUGGAUGGUUGUCAUUUUUACCCCGAUAUUGGAAUAAGAGUUCUAAUUGAUAAAUCUCUUAUAAGCAUUAUUGGUCAAAGGUUAUUGAUGCAUGAUUUGCUACAAGAAA
rnacentral:misc_RNA from 1 species